AAAGUAAAAGACCAAGAAGACAAGUGGACAGAGAUACAGGGAAUAGGGAGGGGUACGCAAUCCCAAAGAAAAGUCGAGCCCAAGCAUUUGGGAGGCAAGCAAGCGGAUCUGUGUGAAUUCAAAGCCAGGCUGGUCUAUACAGCGACUUCCAGGAUUGCCACUGCUACACAGAGAAACUGUCUCCAAAAAAGAGAAAAAGUGGCAUUGGAAGCAUGGAGAUGGCACGAGAUCCCCUGCAACUGGAGCUGUGAGCCGCCAUCUACGUCUUUGGAACUGAACGCAGUUCCUCUGGAAGAGCAGCCUAUUACUGCUGAGCCAUUUCUCCGGCCCCUUUUUCUUUUUUUGGCCAUACUAGGAAUGGGACCCAGAGCCCCACACAUGCUAGGCAAGUCCACCGAACUACAAUCCCAGUUCUCGCUCUGUAGUUCAGGUUGCCCUUUUUGAUCUUGCUGCAGCCUCCUGAGGAGCUGGGGUUGCCCGCUGUGCGGGUGGAUUGACUUUCUCGCUUUUCGUAUUCCACUUUUCCCCUUGAGUUCUACUUUUUUUAUCUGCACCCCAUCUUUCUCUCCCUGAGUUUCAACUCCGUCUCCUUUCAUCCUUUUGAACUCUACUAGAUACAAUAGGCUUGUCAUUACGCCAUUACUGCCCUUCGUGCCCCACAGUUUCCUCCGCACUUCCCUAGAAUACGUCGGGUUCCCUAGACUCUAUGAUGCUCUUUAGAGUCUGGGUCCCAUCAACUGAGUCAUGUCUCCUCCCUCUGAGCUCUGUCCCCGCCCCCAAAUAUGUCCCCCUACUCCUGCAUACUUGCUGUCUAUGUUCUGUCUCUGCCUUCUGGAAUCUGACUCCUCCCCUUGAGUUUGGCUCCUUCCUCCAAGUGUGUCCCAGCGGUGACUUCCACUCGGGCUCCACGAUCUGUCUCCGCCCACUAAGUCCUCUCCACCGGUAAACUCCACUCCCAUCCCUUGGGGGGUAACCCCAACUGUAAAGUGGCUCUGAAGCGCGCCAAGCCAACGCUUCUCCUAGUGCACCUCAAGUUCUAGGCCUUAGCAGGGUGUUGGUUUCGCCACCCUCCCUCUCCCCGUGUCAGGCUACAAAUGCAUUUGGGAUUAAAUUUUCAUGAUGCGACUCAGGAGAGGACCAGCGAAGUCGAUCGAGCGGCGGGCGGUCGCUGAGGGUCUCAGUUCUGUCUCUGAUUGACACGUCCCCGGGGAGGAGGGCAGCAGGCUGAGCCGCGCAGACGCGCCACCUGGUGGCCGUGGAGCCCGGGACUGCGUGCGGAGGAGGCGUCCGCGGCUCGCGGCCAGGUGUGAGGGAGGAGCAGAUGGUGAGGAGGAGGGAGUGGGAAGGGGGCCCUGCCGCUGCCAAAUCCCGGGCCGUCGCCCGCACCAUCACCAUGGCGACGGAGAACGGAAGAACGCACCCAGUCUUCAAGCCUUUUCAGGACCUGGAAACCAGACCUUAGGUUGCCCAGGGAGGCCCUCAGUCUGGACUACAAGCCCCAGUGGCCUUUGCGCUUGGAAGUCAGUCCGGCCCUUCCCAACCCCACCCCACUCCCAUCACCCCACGUUUCUAUUUGCCUGUUCUAAGAGAUAUAAUUUUAGCUAAGAAGCCUUAGAGUCCAAGGCUUCCUUGCGCCCUCACGUGGACAGGGCUCGCCAGUUUGCUUGCUCGCACGCUGGAGCAGGAUAGACAAAUCUGGCUGUUGUACAGACUUAUCGUGGAACUUAACUCCUGCCUCAGCCUCCCGAGAAUGUUAUAGCAGGCAUACUCACCAUGUCUGGCCACUGAACAGGCAUCCUCUGACUUUAUCGACUUUUCUCAGCAGUUAUGUGGCAAUGUUUUCAAUCUUGGAUUAUUUAUUUAAUUUCACUUUUUAAGCAGGGUCUUCUCUACAUAGUCCUACCUGUCGUGGAAUUCACUCUAGACCAGCUGGCCUUAAACCCACAGAGAUCAAAUGCCCAGAUUAAGCCACCAUGCCAGGCUUUUGUGCUUAAUCUUUAAAAAUUACACAUAAGCCACGAGUAGUGGCGCGUGCUUUUCUUUUUUAAUU
rnacentral:sRNA from 1 species